CCUGCGGGGACACGGGGACACGGCUGAGCGCACGGGGAGGGCACGGCCGGGCCUCGGCACCGGGGAGCCCCCCGUUCCCCUCCCGGUGCUCACCACUGGUUGUCCUGCAUCAGCUCCGUGCUGGUGUCCGAGCUCUGCAGCUCCUCCCCGCGGCUCAGCACCAGGCUUUAAUUCAGGCUCCUGGUUUCCCUCGUUAAGCCUCCCGCCCCGGCACGGUCACCUCGUCCUGAGCGUCCUUCUUGAUGAGGAAGGGCAGGUUCCUGGCCGUCGCCAUGAGGACGUCGGCCGCCUGCUCGGGGGACAGGAAGGGGAGGAUGCGUGCCACCAGGCGCUUUCCUUUCCGGAUGCACAUGAUCUGCAUGAAGUGGUCAUCGCUCGGCCUGCCGCGCAGGGGAGGAAGGAGCUGACUCAGCGGGGUGCCAGAGCGCUCCCGAGGGGGUUCCCAGAGGCGCCCCGACACCACAGGAAAUAAAAACAGGGACGGGGAGAGCAGUGACACCCCCGCGUCCA